ACUAGCAGAGACUUGAGUGACAAAAAACAAAGAAGGAACCUAUUUGAACUGGAGAAAGAAGGUGGAUGCUGCAGGAUUGAGAGACUUUAUGGAUUUUAAAAGAAACAAAGAUGGAGAGUGUCCUCAGGAAAGAUCUAAACCUUUUAGCUCUGUUGUGGCCUCUCUGGAGGAAGGAUUAGGACCAUGAAUCAUGGUAUCAUCCACAUCUGUCCUUGGGCAGUUCUAGAAGAUGUCCUAAGCCCCAGGUGACCUGAUUCCAAUUCAUUAAAAAGGUGAGCCACAUAUAUUCUUUCAACAGUAAGUGUCCCAAUGCUGAUGAUGAAGAUGAGAAAAUAUCUUCCAGUAGCUUAAC
rnacentral:lncRNA from 1 species